ACGAACGCUGGCGGCACGCUUAACACAUGCAAGUCGAACGAGAGAAGAGAAGCUUGCUUUUCUGAUCUAGUGGCGGACGGGUGAGUAACACGUGAGCAAUCUGCCUUUCAGAGGGGGAUACCGAUUGGAAACGAUCGUUAAUACCGCAUAACAUAAUUGAACCGCAUGAUUUGAUUAUCAAAGAUUUAUCGCUGAAAGAUGAGCUCGCGUCUGAUUAGCUAGUUGGUAAGGUAACGGCUUACCAAGGCGACGAUCAGUAGCCGGACUGAGAGGUUGAUCGGCCACAUUGGGACUGAGACACGGCCCAGACUCCUACGGGAGGCAGCAGUGGGGAAUAUUGCACAAUGGAGGAAACUCUGAUGCAGCGAUGCCGCGUGAGGGAAGAAGGUUUUGGGAUUGUAAACCUCUGUCUUCAGGGACGAAAAAAGACGGUACCUGAGGAGGAAGCUCCGGCUAACUACGUGCCAGCAGCCGCGGUAAUACGUAGGGAGCGAGCGUUGUCCGGAAUUACUGGGUGUAAAGGGAGCGUAGGCGGGAUCGCAAGUCAGAUGUGAAAACUAUGGGCUUAACCCAUAAACUGCAUUUGAAACUGUGGUUCUUGAGUGAAGUAGAGGUAAGCGGAAUUCCUAGUGUAGCGGUGAAAUGCGUAGAUAUUAGGAGGAACAUCAGUGGCGAAGGCGGCUUACUGGGCUUUAACUGACGCUGAGGCUCGAAAGCGUGGGGAGCAAACAGGAUUAGAUACCCUGGUAGUCCACGCCGUAAACGAUGAUUACUAGGUGUGGGGGGACUGACCCCUUCCGUGCCGCAGCAAACGCAAUAAGUAAUCCACCUGGGGAGUACGACCGCAAGGUUGAAACUCAAAGGAAUUGACGGGGGCCCGCACAAGCAGUGGAGUAUGUGGAUUAAUUCGAAGCAACGCGAAGAACCUUACCAGGUCUUGACAUCGUAUGCAUAGCUCAGAGAUGAGUGAAAUCUCUUCGGAGACAUAUAGACAGGUGGUGCAUGGUUGUCGUCAGCUCGUGUCGUGAGAUGUUGGGUUAAGUCCCGCAACGAGCGCAACCCUUACUGUUAGUUGCUACGCAAGAGCACUCUAGCAGGACUGCCGUUGACAAAACGGAGGAAGGUGGGGAUGACGUCAAAUCAUCAUGCCCCUUAUGACCUGGGCCUCACACGUACUACAAUGGCUGUCAACAGAGGGAAGCAAAGCCGCGAGGUGGAGCAAACCCCUAAAAGCAGUCUUAGUUCGGAUUGUAGGCUGCAACCCGCCUACAUGAAGUCGGAAUUGCUAGUAAUCGCAGAUCAGCAUGCUGCGGUGAAUACGUUCCCGGGCCUUGUACACACCGCCCGUCACGCCAUGGGAGUCGGUAACACCCGAAGCCUGUAGUCUAACCGCAAGGAGGACGCAGUCGAAGGUGGGAUUGAUGACUGGGGUG
rnacentral:rRNA from 1 species